rnacentral:sRNA from 1 species
CUCUAGCCCAGAUAGAAGCGGCAUCCUUUUCCAUCGCCUCAUUAGGCGAAGGAAGAGAUAUAGCACAUAGCUGGAAACAGC